UUUUUUACUCUCUUAUGUACUCCAGCAACUCGAUUUUUGAGUCUAUUCCUGAGGCUCCCGAAGAUGCCGUCUUUGGCAUACAAAGACAAUGUUCCACAGAUGAACACGAGAUGAAGCUCGAUUUGAGCGUUGGUGCAUACCGCACAGAAGAGGGCAAGCCCUGGAUUCUUCCUGUCGUCAAAAAGGCGGAGUUGAAACUCAUGGAGAUAGGGCUCAACCACGAGUACUUGCCAAUCGAGGGCAAUAAGCGCUUCUCGAGUCUGGCCGCCAACCUCAUUCUUGGCGACGCUUUUUACAAUGCGAACACAAGACGAAUCGUGAGCGUCCAAGCACUUUCUGGGACGGGCGCGGUUCGCCUGGGCGCCGAGUUCGCUUGCAAGUGGUUUAGGAAUUGCGUCGUCUACAUCUCGAAUCCCACCUGGGUUAACCACAAAAACAUCUUCAAUACGCUCGGCAUCAAGGUCAGAACCUACCGCUACUGGAAUGCUAAGACCUUUUCCAUUAAUUUUGAGGGGAUGAAACAGGAUCUGCGCGAUGCACCCGACGGCUGUCUCGUCGUCUUGCAUGCUUGUGCUCACAACCCGACUGGUACCGACCCCACUCAGAGUCAGUGGGUAGAGCUUUCGAAAAUCUUCAAAGAAAAAAGCCACAUCCCAUUUUUUGAUUCCUCGUACCAGGGAUUUGCUACCGGCGACUUAGACAAGGAUGCCUUCCCUAUUCGUUACUUCGCCUCUCAGGGACACGAAAUGUUCAUCGCUCAAUCCUUCGCCAAAAACAUGGGUCUGUACGGAGAAAGGGUCGGCGCCUUCACCGCCAUCACCACCAACGCCAGAUCGUUCACUGCCAUCAAGACCCAGCUGUGCCGUCUUAUCCGAGCCAAUUACUCCAAUCCGCCCAGAUUUGGCGCAGCCGUAGCCGAGAUGGUGCUUGGUGAUCCCGCUCUCUUCCAAGAAUGGAAGCUUUGUCUGAAGUCGAUGGCGGAGCGUCUGCAGCUCCUCCGAGAGAAACUCUACGACACGCUGAUCCUCAAAAAGACACCUGGAGAUUGGUCUCACAUACUUCGGCAGAUCGGCCUGUUUUGUUAUACAGGUAUCACCGCUAAGCAAGUCGAGCACCUUGUUACUCGCUUCCACAUCUACCUCAUUCCGAAUGGUCGCAUUUCCCUCGCCGGCCUUUCCGCUAAGACCAUUCCUUACCUCGUCGAUUCCCUGCAUGCCGUCAUCGUCGAGCCCAGCUAAACAAGAGACGUAGCAUACAAAGCAUUUUUUUUUUGACACGUUGAAAGGAGGGUGACGCACGUCAUCCAACGAAUCAGCGCACCCGCUUUCACGUUUCCUCCUUACAGAGGACCUGUCCGCUGCUCGACCUUCACGUUAGAGAGUUUCCUUCGCUUUGCUGGUUUUUUACGUUUUCCCACCAUUCGGCCAGGCUUGAGCAGCAGCAGUUCUGACUCGAUUCGCGGACAAACUCGUCCAUCCAUGCGGGCAAUCUGUCUCCUUGUGCGGAGCGCCGGAGAAUCGAUUUGUUGGGGUUACUACGAGGGUCUAGAGCUCGACUGAGCAGAAAUCGACGCCCGACGGCGAUGGCCUGUUUCAGGACGUAGUCGUUGGGAGACGUAUUCACAGUUUUGACAGACGAUGUGUUUGAGCACUCGUCUAGCUGGAGCAGGAAGGGUUGAAAUGAACAAGGCUGUCGCUUUAGGUUUUUUUCAGAUCUGAGCAAGCAACGACAAGCUCUGUCUAGCCCGAUCAAGCUACGGCACGCGGGGCCAAUGAUCGAUAGAUUGACUUCUUGGGGCGUUCCUAUAAUCUGUUCAUAGACAUCAAAUACCGCAGCAUAAAGAAGUCGUUGAGAAGGGAACUUGGCUCUGUAUAGAGCUUGAUUGACAUGAUCUAGACAUUGUAAUAGAUCCAAUUCUAUUGCCAACUGACAGAUUUCUUCUAUAACUGGGAUCCAUUUGGCUGAGUGAAUUGGCGUUCUUUGGCGACGUGGUCUUCCGUCAAUGGCGCAAUCCUCCUCCGCGAUGAUGGAUCUGGCCGCAGUUACAGUCCCUCUAUCUUCGAGGGAGACGUUGUGCUGGCGGUCUCGACAGAAUUCCGGCGGGCACUUUUUUUUUGACGUCGAAAGGUGUCCCGUUUCGUCUCGCUGUCGUUGUUGAGCACACCCAUGCACGAAGCGAGACUUCUGUCUGGCCACGCUGUUCUCUCUCCGCAUCAAAGAUCUCCAUAUGGCCUCCAUGGUCCAUUGGAUGCAUAUUCGGCCAACCUUCGAUCGUCCAGUUGAUUGAGCGAUUUUGGCCACGGAAGACAGAAUUUUGUCCGUCCAGAAAUCUAUGGAGCUGUAUGGAUUCCAGGAUACCGCUCCACUUUAUCCAGUCUUCAUGAUUGAGUGCCUGUAAGUUCAUAACCCGAUGGAGAAGUGUCCGACAUUCCAGGGACGACGUGACUCUGUGGCGACUGUCCCCUGAGACUUUUUUUAUCCCUACUGGAUCCAGCUCUCUUUUCACCCAGCCGUCUAUUAUCUUUGCCGAGCUUCGCAUCAGUUCUGCACAUCCAAGGUUAUAAAUAGAAGAUCGAAUAUAGCACAAUUCUUCUGCAUCCUUCUUUUCUUGAACGACACUUCUUUGUUGCAUCCUCUUACUUUCCUUCUCCGCAUAUCUGUACAUUUCGUUUAAGAGGUGGUGUUGUAAUUUUUGCUGUCUCCAACUGCACAAUUUGGACCCUGAAUUUGCCAAUUCAUUCUGAAAGUUCGCGUAAGACAGCUGCACGUUUAC